AUAACUAUAUUGCCAUGGAAUACGAGUAUUUACUUACUAAGAGUUUCCAAAUUCUGGAGGGAUCACAUAGGGAGAAAAGGAUAAAUGCUUCAGUUUUGCUUACAAAUUUCUAUAAGUCAUAGUUCCUUAAGAG